UAAGUAACUGAGUGCGCGUGCGCCGCAGAAGCGCGCCUUCGGGGAAGAAGAGGCGCUUCCGGCCGGGGGUGGGGGAGGGGGAACCUUCGCUCCCGCCUGCAAAGACCCAGCCCCCACCUCUCGUUUUCAGGCCUGAGGCAAAGAAGGUAGCUGGAGUUUCUGCAGGCCUUUCACGCCUGAGGGUACAAAACGGUGCCCUUAAUGCCGUUAUCUCUGUGGCUGUUCCUACCUGGUCUAUACAGCACAGGGCCUCCUGCCCCCUCGUGGCCAGUGUGGAUUCUGCACACUCCUAGGAGCUAAGCGACACAGAAUUCUGUUGGGUGCGGAGCAGCAUCAGGCUUGAAACCUAGAUCAGGUGUUUAUCUUGUUGACACCCAUACAGGAGUAAUAAAAAGAAGAUACACCCAUAUAUAUACACUGGCAAAAUCCCUGAGGUCCAUGGGUCAAGGGAGAAGCAUACAAGUUUUCACACUGAAGGAAGAGGCUAUUUGCCAAAAGGAAAGCAAAUAAAACCAGCAUUAGAAUUCUCAUUUGCUACACUGAAAACUAGAAGACAGUGGAACGAUAUCUACAAACUGAAGAGAGAAACUGCAGCUAACAGCCAAGAAUCCUGUUCGCAGACAGAAUGUUAAUUCAUCUUUUGGGGCAAAAGAAAGACAAUUUUAGACACUCAAGUGCUCAAUACAUUGACCAUGGAUCCUAGCUGAGGAAAGUACUUAAAUUUCUCCAAUCAGCUGAUAAUUAUAUUAGAAAAGAGAUCUCAAUAUUGGGCAGAUGAAGAGUACAGUACCUCUUGUGAACAAUUAAUUCUGUAAUACAUAUAUCAACGGAUAAUUUAUUCAUUCAACAAUUUGAGGGCCAUGCUCAGCAGCAACUCUUGGAGCUGAUAGUAUGUUAUAAUAUUAAUGAGAUAAGAAAUACACGAUGUAAAUGUUUAGUAAGGAGUUGUCAAAUGCAAGAUACACUUUAGAGCAGCUGGGCAGGAAGAGCCAAUGGGAAAAUGAGGAAGUAAAAUUACAAUUUCUAAAAUUUUCCUCUGGGUGAAGGGGUGGGGGUGUGAGUGGGUAAAAUGUUUUGAGAAACAUAUUUCUUGAUCAAUUUUGAAAUGUUACUAGAGGAAUACAGGUUUCAUCAUAACUAUUAGGUAUGAAAACGGAAACACCAGCAUCAUGGAGACAAAUGUUAGAACUGCCAAAUUAACAGGAGGGCAAAAAAGGAAUGAAGAGAAACUUUUCCAAGCCAAUUCAAAGAAAAAGAAUCAACAAGAUAAGAUAUAAAAUAAACAGAAAUAAAUGGAUAGAAUAAAGCGCAAAGAUUCUAGUUCAAUAAUAAUUGCAUAAGAACUCAAUUCUCCUAUUUAAAAAAACAAAGACAACAGAUUGAGUUUUUAAAAAUCUCCCUAUUGGGGCCGGCCCCGUGGCCGAGUGGUUAAGUUCUCGUGCUCCG